rnacentral:rRNA from 1 species
GGAGUUUGGACCGUGUCUCAGUUCCAAUGUGGGGGACCUUCCUCUCAGAACCCCUACUGAUCGAUGGCUUGGUGGGCCGUUACCCCGCCAACAACCUAAUCAGACGCAUCCCCAUCCCUUAGCAAUAAAUCUUUGGUUCACUUUAGAUGCCUGCGAUGAACAACAUAGGGUAUUAAUCCGACUUUCGCCGGGCUAUGCCCUACUAAGGGGAAGGUUGGAUACGCGUUACUCACCCGUGCGCCGGUCGCCGACAGAAUUAGCAAGCUAACUCCUCGAUGCCCCUCGACUUGCAUGUGUUAAGCCUGUAGCUAGCGUUCAUC